UACGUAGGGGGCAAGCGUUGUCCGGAAUCAUUGGGCGUAAAGAGCGUGUAGGCGGCCUGGAAAGUCUGGUGUGAAAUCUUUCGGCUCAACCGGAAGCGGUCACUGGAUACUGUCAGGCUUGAGUCCGGAAGAGGAGUGUGGAAUUCCUGGUGUAGCGGUGGAAUGCGCAGAUAUCAGGAGGAACACCAAUGGCGAAGGCAGCACUCUGGUACGUGACUGACGCUGAGACGCGAAAAGCGUGGGGGAGCAAACAGG
rnacentral:rRNA from 1 species